GUAGGUGGCAAGCGUUGUCCGGAAUUAUUGGGGCGUAAAGCGCGCGCAGGUGGUUCUUUAAGUCUGAUGUGAAAGACCCCCGGGCUCAACCGGGGAGGGUCAUUGGAAACUGGGGAACUUGAGUGCAGGAGAGGAAAGUGGAAUUCCACGUGUAGCGGUGAAAUGCGUAGAUAUGUGGAGGAACACCAGUGGCGAAGGCGACUUUCUGGCCUGUAACUGACACUGAGGCGCGAAAGCGAGGGGAGCAAACAGGAUUAGAUACCCUGGUAGUCCACGCCGUAAACGAUGAGUGCUAAGUGUUGGGGGGUUUCCGCCCCUCAGUGCUGCAGCUAACGCAUUAAGCACUCCGCCUGGGGAGUACGGUCGCAAAGACUG
rnacentral:rRNA from 1 species